rnacentral:rRNA from 1 species
UACGAAGGGUGCAAACGUUGCUCGGAAUUAUUGGGCGUAAAGCGCACGUAGGCGGCUUUGCAAGUCCCAUGUGAAAUCCCACGGCUUAACCGUGGAAGUGCAUGGGAAACUGCAGAGCUUGAGUACUUAAGAGGAUCGCGGAAUUCCCGGUGUAGAGGUGAAAUUCGUAGAUAUCGGAAGGAACACCAGUGGCGAAGGCGGCGAUCUGGGAAGAUACUGACGCUGAGGUGCGAAAGCGUGGGGAGCAAACAGG